UUGAAAGGGAAACGAUUGAAGUAGUCGGACCAGAGAAUCAGUUUUCCAGGGGGAAUUUGUUGAGGCGUGAGAUUUAAAGGGGUCGUGUUUGAGCUUUGUUUUUUGGGGGACUUUUUCGUUGGGGGCCAACGGCGGUUUCGGCACCAUAGAGGUUGGGGGAUGUAGGUUCUAUCUCUAUUGAAGGGUUAUAGCCUUUGGUAGAUGUGGUGAUCGAAACUGAGGAUUGCAACGAAUACCCUUUGGGCUAUCCGGCUGACCUCUGAAAGGUGGUUGGGUGCCGAAAGCUUGCUUAUGGUAUUUAAGACGACGGGCAAAAGGGUUAGGAACGUGAUUACCUUCGUUAAGGAUGUUGACGUA
rnacentral:rRNA from 1 species